rnacentral:rRNA from 1 species
UAAGGAAUAUUGGUCAAUGGAGGGAACUCUGAACCAGCCAUGCCGCGUGCAGGAAGACGGCCCUCUGGGUUGUAAACUGCUUUUAUUCGGGAAUAAACCACAUUACGUGUAGUGUGCUGAAUGUACCGAAGGAAUAAGGACCGGCUAACUCCGUGCCAGCAGCCGCGGUAAUACGGAGGAUCCAAGCGUUAUCCGGAUUUAUUGGGUUUAAAGGGUGCGUAGGCGGCUUAAUAAGUCAGUGGUGAAAUACAGCCGCUCAACGGUUGAGGUGCCAUUGAUACUGUUAAGCUUGAAACAAGUGGAGGCUGCCGGAAUGGAUGGUGUAGCGGUGAAAUGCAUAGAUAUGUCACAGAACACCGAUUGCGAAGGCAGCUUACUAUGGUUUAAUUGACGCUGAGGCACGAAAGCGUGGGGAUCAAACA